rnacentral:rRNA from 1 species
GACGUAGGGCGCGAGCGUUGUCCGGAUUUAUUGGGCGUAAAGAGCUCGUAGGCGGCUCGUUGCGUCAACCGUGAAAACCAGCAGCUCAACUGUUGGCUUGCGGUUGAUACGGGUGGGCUGGAGUUCGGUAGGGGAGACUGGAAUUCCUGGUGUAGCGGUGAAAUGCGCAGAUAUCAAGAGGAACACCAGUGGCGAAGGCGAGUCCCUGGACAAUACCUGACGCUGAGGCACGAAAGCGAGGGGAGCAAACAGG